rnacentral:rRNA from 1 species
AAUCUGGCUGUCUUCGAUAGUCCGAGUUGUAAUCUAUAGAAGCGUUUUCCGUGCUGAACUGUGUCUAAGUCCCUUGGAACAGGGUAUCAAAGAGGGUGACAAUCCCGUACUUGACACAAUCAUCAGUGCUCUGUGAUACGCUCUCUACGAGUCGAGUUGUUUGGGAAUGCAGCUCAAAAUGGGUGGUAAAUUCCAUCUAAAGCUAAAUAUUGGCGAGAGACCGAUAGCGAACAAGUACCGUGAGGGAAAGAUGAAAAGCACUUUGGAAAGAGAGUUAAACAGUACGUGAAAUUGUUGAAAGGGAAACGAUUGAAGUCAGUCGUGUUCAUUGGAUUCAGCCGGUCUUCGGUGUACUUCCUUUGAACGGGUCAACAUCAGUUUUGCCCGGUGGAUAAAGGCAGUAGGAAUGUGGCCUCUCCGGAGGUGUUAUAGCCUAUUGUCACAUACACUGGGGGAGACUGAGGACUGCAGCUCGCCUUUUGGCCGGGGUUCGCCCACGUUCGAGCUUA